UUUAUUUUCUUUAGUAUUUAAACUCAUUACACAGAAAUGUUUAAAAGAAAUGUCCUUCACAAAUCCCCAGUGUCACUCAAUGGAUUAAAUGGUGAUGAUACAAUUAAAUUAUAUUAUUGGCUGAUGUUAACAAAAAUCUUCGGGUUUUUUUUUUUUUCCCACUGCGACACUCGGAAUGGUCAUAUUUUUCCCACAACACAUACAUUUUCCCCUAUUACACAGGCUCAUGUGCAUCCUGAUGCGACCCCAUCCAUAAGGCAAAAGAGAACGAUCUUGCCUGGCCGGACCUUCGGCUGAGCACGGGGCCGCCCUCACUCAGAGCCAGUCUGCAAACUGCCUUUGACCUGUCAACACCAGGCUGUCUUUCUCUUUCUCUUUUCAGGCCACACAUCUCUAUGACUCUAGCUUUCUGUAUCUGAGAUGGUGCCGUAGGUGACUGAGAAGCAAGGAAAUGGGAUCAAGCUAGACCAUCCUAUUUUACCGAUGGGACUGCGCUGGGCCCUGAGAAUGCAGAGAAGAAUCAUGUUCUUCAAGGAGUUUAUAAUCCAGUGUGGAGAGAUAUUUCUGUUGUGUUAAAUGGAGGGGCCAACGGAGCAGGAGACAAUUGCCACUGAGAGGAUCAUUUCUUACACCCACAGACCGCAAGAGGAAGGGGCACAGGGGAAGCACGAGGGUCAGAGGCUGCUGGAGCAAGGGAGAAUCUUGUUGGAGCAAGGC